rnacentral:misc_RNA from 1 species
UACGGAGGGUCCAAGCGUUAUCCGGAUUUAUUGGGUUUAAAGGGUGCGUAGGCGGGAUAAUAAGUCAGUGGUGAAAGCCUACAGCUCAACUGUAGAACUGCCAUUGAUACUGUUAUUCUUGAGUUCGGUUGAAGUGGGCGGAAUGUGUCAUGUAGCGGUGAAAUGCAUAGAUAAGACACAGAACACCAAUUGCGAAGGCAGCUCACUAAGCCGAUACUGACGCUGAGGCACGAAAGCGUGGGGAGCGAACAGG